AUGAAAAGAUCACAUUGUACCUCCGAGCAGAGGGAAUGGAGAAGGCAACCUUGGAAUGAGGGCAGCCAAUUAGGAAUAGUGAUGAUGGUUACAUUAACCCAGGGGUGUGAAGAAAUGCCCUUUAACUCUUGAGAUAAUUGAUGUCGACUGGGCCUUCAAGGUGCUUUCUGGUUUUUGAAAAUAUCACAUUGGAAGAAAAGUGAGACUCCAACAUCUGGGACAUGAUAUCCUGAGUAAAACAGGCCUGCCUUUUUAUUUUUAUUUUAUUUUAUUUUAUCUUAUC
rnacentral:lncRNA from 1 species